rnacentral:rRNA from 1 species
UCGAUCAACCACUGUGUGAACCGGUAGUUUAUCUUCUUUGAUUCAGCUUAUUAACGGAGACAGAGAGAAACGUCAUCGCUCCGCACGGUGAAUCUCUCGGCUCGCGCAUCGAUGAAGAACGCAGCCAACUGCGACAAACGUAGUGUGAAUUGCAGAUCCGAUCGUCGAUUCUUCGAACGCAAAUGGCGCUCGUCUCUCGCGAGGCGAGCGAGGCUGUCCGAGCGUCCAUAUUUCCUUACCCAUCCAUCCAUCCAUCCAUCCUUUGUGGAAGGACGGACGGUGAGUUGGAGUCGUCGUGGCCUUGCGAUUGGCCGCGUCCUCUGAAGAGCAGAACUGAAAGGUGAACAUAUUCACAAUUUGUUAGA